GGAGAGCUGGAAACUGUUCCCCAGGGCAUGAUAGCACAAAAUGACUUUGCUAUAUUCCCUCUCCAGCCUAGCAUCAGGGCUCAGGCAGGAACACAGCCAUCGCGCCCCCAGAGCAGCUUCCUGUUGUUAGGGCCUACAAGUGAAGCUCCAUAAUGACGUUCAUCUGGUCUAAUACACUUAACUGCCAAAGCAUCCGCCAAACGAGAAUACAGUUAAAACAAAAAUUCUUGAGAUGAUGUCACCAAAAA